UCCCGUAUUAGAGAGAAAGUGUGCGAGAAGAAGGAGAAGCCAUGGUCAAGAAAGAAUGUGCAGAGAAUAGGAGAUAACUAGCAAACUAGAGUAGAAGGUGGAAGUUACAAGAGAGACAUGGGGUAGUUUUACAGAGAGAAAGAGUGGGCUCAUUCUUCUAGUUUGAGGUGGAUUUGUAGUGGCCAUCAACAAGAGAUCUAGCAUUACAAGGCAAAAACCAUGUCGAAGGACCAAAGGGCCAAUCUAGCUCUUCUACGAAUCAAGGAGAGGGACGACACUAGAGGCAUGUUGUAACUGCAGCAACACACCUGUAUGGGGAUGUUAGAAGCCUCACUUGAAAACGAAAGGGAUUCCAAGCGUUGUGUAGUCGUGACCCAUGAAUUGUUAGUAAAGAACAUACCAGAUGCGAGAGAGGAGAGUAAAAGCGAAGAGGAUGGUGAGGAGGAUAGUGAAAGCAAAGAGGAAGGUGAGGAGCAAAAUGGAGGAAAGGAGAGUGAAGCCGAGGAGGAUGAUGAAAAGAAAACAAAGAUAAGAAAGGACCAGAAUGACGGUCCUUCUAUGCCUGAGGAACCCAGAUGGGAACUUUGACCAAGGGUGAAGGGGAAGGGUGUAUUUAGAUAGGGGCUUCUUACAUAUUUGUAAUUUAAAGUAUUUGUAGUUGGAUAUGUACAAACUCAGUUCUGCAAGCAUUUCGAUGUAGUGCCUUGCCCUUAAACUCUAUAUAUUAUUAACAUCUAUUUAAGACA